UCGCACUGAAAAUAAAAAAGGAAGAGUAUGUAAGGUGUCUUAGAGCAGCAGCACCCACCCUGAGCAGCUCCUGGGAAAUCCAGAGGUUCCUCUGGAGGCAAAGGAGGUGGACAUGCUGUGCUCCUGCCAGGUUCGGCUGCAACUCAAGCUGUCAGUCAGCUGCCUGGUUCCUGAAUCUGUGCAUAGUCCAAGAUGAAAGCUGCUGCUGCUGCAAAAGGAACAACAGCACCUGAGCAAGUCUGGCCUGGAGUUCUUCACCACAGGACCCUUAAGAACCUGAAAGACAGUUUGGUAUGGUUAAUUCAAGCUGAAAAGUUUCCCCUUAAAGUUAAGGAUCCAAAACAUGAAGUUCAAAUUCACCUUUUCAACACUCCCAGGUUC